UUGAGGCAGAUGGGGGGUAGUUGUCUUACCAUGCUGGAUCCAACCUGUUGAAGAAGUCCUUGUUGGGAUGACGUCGAUGAUACCGAGGGACGUCUUGAUCCUCGAACACUAUUCAUACUCGAACUGAGAAGAUAUGGCACGCUACUACUUGUUAUUGGCAUUCCGCCUCCCUGCGUAUAUGAAAAAUGAACAAACGUUAUUUUCUUACCUCAUAAUUAAUGAUAUUUAUUAUCACCUAUACUUAAUAAGUUUAACGAUUCUAAAAGAUACAAAAUAUCGUGUUACCGUGGGCGGUGAAAGAUUAAUGUUCGAUCCACGUCGUUCUUGAGGCCCUAUACUUGAAUGUCGACGUACAGGUAAACCACCACCAGGUGUUCCACCUGGAGAACUGGCGCAAGAUGGUGCAACGCGUAUUUUAGGUGUCAUUAAAGUAUUAUCCGAAAGACGUCUACUCGUGAAGGCGUUAUGCACUUUUAAGAAAUUGCUAUCGUUCAUCGUUGAUGUGAACCAUCCUCCAAAAGCGUCUAAAAAUGGGAAAGGACCAUCGUUAAGAUUAAUCUUAUCAAUAUUUUCUUAUCGAUAGUUAAUAUUACGUACUGAACAUUGAAUUUUUCCGCGCCAUAUUUUCGGCUGAGGCCGUCCUAUCUGGUUCAGCUAAUCGUAAAGAUCGAGAAGAUAAUUUUCAAAGACAUUUUUCAACAAUAUAAUUACUUCGAAAAGUUUUCAUAUUUCUUACUCAUGCUAUUCUUUCUCGCCAUAUCUUCGGCGGACGAAGUCUUUCGUUGAUCGAUCCUUAAAUUCGGGAUGUUGAAUGGUGGUACGUGCAUGUUGUCCGUACUAUGCUGAUGUCGGAAAGGCCGAUAACGUUCCGGACUCGGUAAAGAGAGAUUGUCUAGAGUGAGCUUAUUUCUUUGAUUCCUAAAAAAUAUAGACACCAAUCGAUUAGUCUAUGAUAUUGUGAAAAAAAAAAAAAGAAAAAAAGAAAAAAGAAACAAAAAAUAGAGCAAAAGAAAAAAAAAAGAAGAAGAAGCUUACCUCUCUAUGUGAUUCAACAUUUCUUGAAGUACUUGGAAAAGUGACAUGAAUUGUUCCAAAUUUAAUCCUGGAUUGACAGUCUGAGGAAGUAACGAGGGCAUCGCUCGAGUUGCCAUCCAAUUAACGGAGAGACCGUAAUUCUUAUCGAUUUUCCAAAGGAAUUAUUUUUUACCAACCGGAAAUAUUUGAUCAUCGAUAAAACUUGAGCGGUAGGCCUUAGAUCAAUAUCCUUUUGAAGAAGUCUUGAAACUGCUUCUCUCAGAGGAAGCGUGACCGAUGGUAGAAUAAUUUCGACCCGAUCAUCGAGCUACAUAUAUGUACUCGGAACAAUUGUGAUUGGCUUGAAUCAAGGGUCUGCCUCGAUUGAAGAUAGCACAUAUUGUCAUUCCAAGACUAUACAUGUCGCUACUAAAGCUUCCUAAUUUUUUUUGUUGAAUUUCCGGUGCUAUAAAAAACGUACGAGGCCAUACAAGUAGGAGAUCGUCAAUCGAUCUAAUUAUUUUCUUACCUAAGUAAUCCAAAUUUGGUUGGGCCAUUUUUGACAUUCUACUUGUCCAUGGUUGUAUAGUAAAUGGUAUCUCA